CCUACGGGUGGCAGCAGUGGGGAAUAUUGCACAAUGGGGGAAACCCUGAUGCAGCGACGCCGCGUGGGCGAGGAAGUACCUCGGUAUGUAAAGCCCUAUCAGCAGGGAAGAAACAGGACAGUACCUGACUAAGAAGCCCCGGCUAACUACGUGCCAGCAGCCGCGGUAAUACCGAGGGGCCAAGCGUUAACCGGAUUCACUGGGCGUAAAGGGAGCGGAGGGGGGAUGGCAAGUCUGAUGUGAAAACCGGGGGCCCAACCCCGGGAGUGCAUUGGAAACUGCCAGGCUGGAGUGUCGGAGGGGUAGGCGGAAUUCGUGGUGUAGCGGUGAAAUGCGUAGAUAUUACGAGGAACACCAGUGGCGAAGGCAGCUUACUGGACGACUACUGACGCUGAGGCUCGAAAGCGUGGGGAGCAAACAGGAUUAGAUACCCCUGUAGUC
rnacentral:rRNA from 1 species